UGCCAGCAGCCGCGGUAAUACGAAGGGUGCUAGCGUUGUUCGGAAUUAUUGGGCGUAAAGCGCGUGUAGGCGGUUCGUUAAGUCUGAUGUGAAAGCCCGGGGCUCAACCCCGGAAGUGCAUUGGAAACUGGCGAAUUUGAGUACGGGAGAGGAAAGUGGAAUUCCGAGUGUAGGGGUGAAAUGCGCAGAUAUUUGGAGGAACACCAGUAGCGAAGGCGGCACUCUGGGCCGGUACUGACGCUGAGGAGCGAAAGCGUGGGGAGCGAACAGGAUUAGAUA
rnacentral:rRNA from 1 species